UACAGAGGGUGCGAGCGUUAAUCGGAAUUACUGGGCGUAAAGCGUGCGUAGACGGUUAUUUAAGUCAGAUGUGAAAGCCCCCGGGCUCAACCUGGGAAUUGCAUUUGAGACUGAAUAGCUAGGGUACGGUAGAGGGAAGCGGAAUUUCCGGUGUAGCGGUGAAAUGCGUAGAUAUCGGAAGGAACAUCAGUGGCGAAAAGCGGCU
rnacentral:rRNA from 1 species